GGGGAAUUUUGGACAAUGGGGGCAACCCUGAUCCAGCAAUGCCGCGUGUGUGAAGAAGGCCUUCGGGUUGUAAAGCACUUUUGUCCGGAAAGAAAUCGCGCUGGUUAAUACCUGGCGUGGAUGACGGUACCGGAAGAAUAAGCACCGGCUAACUACGUGCCAGCAGCCGCGGUAAUACGUAGGGUGCGAGCGUUAAUCGGAAUUACUGGGCGUAAAGCGUGCGCAGGCGGUUUUGUAAGACAGNCGUGAAAUCCCCGGGCUNAACCUGGGAAUUGCGCUUGNGACUGCAAGGCUAGAGUGCGUCAGAGGGGGGUAGAAUUCCACGUGUAGCAGUGAAAUGCGUAGAGAUGUGGAGGAAUACCGAUGGCGAAGGCAGCCCCCUGGGACGUGACUGACGCUCAUGCUACGAAAGCGUGGGGAGCAAA
rnacentral:rRNA from 1 species